GGCCUGCUAGCUCCGUCGGUUAGAGCGUCGUGCAAAUAACGCGAAGGUCGUAGGUUCGAUCCCUGCGCAGGCCA
rnacentral:tRNA from 1 species